rnacentral:lncRNA from 1 species
AGAGAAUUUCGUCAAGGUACUAUAGUAGUAUCGAAUGCUCUUUGCUAGUGUAAACUAUUUGUGCCACGUGUAGUAUUUCAAUCUUCACAAGUGGCAUUGCAUAUAGUGGCUCUUAUUUCAGUUCCUCAAAGGCACUCUAGAGGUACGUUAGCUUAUAAGCUAGUAUUUGGUCAUCAUGUGCUUCUUUUAAUGAAACACGUGGUUCAUUUUGUCCUCAUACGAGAGCAUUUUGUGUGGAAUAACCUUGUAAAAUGCUCAUUUAUCAAGGGCACAUGUUGUGUUGUUGGAACAUAGUAAAAAUAUGAUACGCUAACCCAUGUGCAUUUAUGAAAAAUCAAAUGAAAACAAAGAACUAAAAAAAAUGCAAAGGCUAAUUCAUAAUGUUUGAGUUUGAGAUGAUUAAUAUUUAAUUUUAUGGUUGCAAAGAUAAGAAUAAAAGUAGGUCUAGUGAGAAAUACCCUCAUAUUAUAAUACUAUUUAAAAUAAAUUUUGUUAUAAAAGAUUUUAUUUAAUAAGGUAUGGAGACUGUUCAAAAUAUAUUUUACGUACAAACUCAUAUGUUUGACGUGAUAGUAUGUCCCAUGCUAGGACUAGCAAUGGUCAAAUCAACCUAUUUCGAUAAGAUCCAUCAAAAUUAAUAUUUAAAAAAUUUAUCAUCUCAUUAUACAAUACACAGCUUUGCCAUCUAGUAGAGAAUGAUUGGUUGGCACACCAUAGUUUACACGAAUAUUUCUAAUAUUUGAAUCGUCUGUUAGAAAAUUUUAAUCCUAGCAAGAUCUUGUAAGUAAAAAUAUCAAAUAAAUAGUAAAUAGAAAAUAUACAGAGAAUAAAACCAAUCAUACAACACAAUAAUUUACGUGAAAAAUUCUUAUAUUGAAGAAAAACCGCAGUCGCCAAAGAUGACAAAAGAAAAAUCUACUAUUUAAAGAUCAUUACAAUUACUUUAAUAUUUUCCUCACAUAAAAAACCCCAAUAACAAAUAAUCUCUCAUUUCAGAAACUGUCUACUUGUAUAGAGCUGAUUGUUGUGUUAUUUAAAUAAGUGAAUCUAACCUUUCGUAUAUAUUGUGAUUAUUUUAUAUUGGAGAAAUAUUUAUUUCCUUAUAUAAUUUGUAUUUCUCCUUUAAUAAGUUCUUUGGCAUUACUUAUUCCUUAAACAUGAACCCCCCCCCCCCCCCCGGAACAAGAAAAUUACUAAAUAAAAAAAUUCUAGGAAAUAUCCUAAUUUAGGAUUUACAAAUCUUCAUUGAAAAAGGAGAUAUGUUUCUUAAAAAUCUCCACUUUGGUGAGUUUUUCAAUUAAGUGACAAAAUAUAAUCCGCCAUACAUCUAUGCAACCAUGUCGUCUCCCCCUUAUUUAGUCUACCAAAACCACACUAACAUAAGACUAAUGAGAAUCACUCCACCAUGGGUAAAAUCUUGUCCUCUAUCCAGCAGCCAUAAUUUUCUACAUCGAGAAUCAUCAUACUCCACAUUAUCCAGAGUACACAUGUUUUGUAACACUCCAAAAAUUACCCACGAAAACACAAGGAUAAAAUUGGAAUGAAACUUUACAUCAUUUAUUCUUAUUAAUAAAUCUCAAGAUAGACAAUUAUUCAUACUCCAACUGAAUCCGUACAUAAAACAUCUGAAAUAAAGUCUAUAAAGAAAAGUCUCUAGUCCAAAAUAAAAAGUCUAGCCAAAUUCACUCUUGAAAGCAACUCCAAAGAUCCACUAAGAAAAAUUCUCCAUUUAAGCACCCAAGCCACAUUUCUAAUCAAUCUGCAAAAUAUUGGAGACGAGGGGUGAGCCGUCAACUCGGUAAGCAAAUCUAUGCACAAUAUUUGAAAACCUUGUAAGUUUACCUUUAAAUAUUUUAUAACAACAUCUUUAUUUAGCAUAAGGGGUGGAUUCAUAUAAAAGCAUUAAAAACAUUAAAACAUUCAUAAAAACGUUAAAACAUAAACAUUAGUAGCUCAUGCCUCGUAGUCAUCAUUAUUCAUCAUUCAUCAUUUAGGGUGUUAUACCCCGCAUUUUUCCUCAUUUAGGGUACUAUACCCCACGUUGUUCAUAAUAUCCUUGUGCACCAGAUCAUCAUCAUACCAGCAAGUUGGCCUUAGCAUUUCAUAACAUCAUAACAUUAACAUCAUAUAUAUUACUACAGACUAUGAGCCAAAACAUUUUUGAAUCCACCUUACAUCUUUUCAUAAAUAGCAUUUAAAGUCUUCUAAAACAUUUAAUUCUUUUAAAAAAUUCUUUAAGAAAACAUUUAAUUUUAAAAAAACUAAUUUCUUAAGAAAAAAUCAUUUUAAAAUACAUUUAUAUAAAUUCAUUUAGAAGCGUUUUUAUUUUACAAAAUUCAUUUAAAUAUUUUAGAAAUCAGUUUUGUAAAAAUCUCUAUUUAAACAUAAUUCGUAUUUAUUAUAAAGGACAUCAUGCAUGAAUCUACUUAUCUUGAUCCAUAUCAAUCAAUUCAAUACCUUAAGAAUAACCAACGAGCUCACCCAUGUCCUAUAAUUAUCAUAAAAAUAUUCUUAUCAAUAUCAUCUCUAACCUUAAACAUAAUCCCAGUCAUCCUUAAAUCAUAGGCACUUAUACUAGCUUAAUACUUAUACAUAUUCUAAACAUAUCCUAUACUUAUGAGUAUCAUGUACAUGCUGAUUUUUAAUAACCUAUACACAUGUCGGAAAACCAUGAAAAUUUACAGAGGCACUGUGAACAUGCAUAGCAUUGCAUACAAUAUUUCACAAAAAUCAGCACAAGUCAAAAUCGAGUCAGAAUAUUGACCUUUCACCAAAGUAACAAAAUUGUCCAGCACUGAUCAAAACAGACAUUUUCCACUUAUAAAAUUCAUAAAAUUUUCUUUAGUACUCGAAAUAAUAUGUUUCUUUUUUUGAAUCACAGAAGAAACAUUCAGAAAGCACUAAUUAAAUUUCAUAAUUUUUGGACUCCUGAAACUAUUUUAAAACGUUUUAUUUCCAAGAACAUCUAACCCGUCCAGAAAAUCUCAGAGUUGAAAACAGAAUUUCAAACAUUCGUAUCUUUUAUUUUACAUGCCCAAAAAUCACGAUUCCAUUUUUUAAAGAUAGAGGAAAGAUUGAAAUUUCAUUAUAAAAUCCUAACAUGACAUGUAAUAUUCAUAAACUAGCCCAACUGUUAUACGUUUCAGCUUCUGCAAUUCUGGAAAACAGUUUUCAGAUUUGCAGCAGCCACAUGUUACGGUUUUUAAUAAUUCAACCAUAAAGAAUAAAACUACGAAAUUACACAUGCAAGCAUAGGAGACAUAGAUCUGUUGAUACAAAAAUCGCCAUAAUUUUUAAGGAUGUGUAACCUUAUAGAAAAAUUUCCAGAAUUGAGAACCGCUGCUGAAAAUCGGAAUUUUCCAGCACCAGUAACCCAACUUCGAAAACCCAUAACAAUUUGCAUAAUCAGACGAUUUCAACACAAAACCUAUCAAUGGAAAGCUUAGGAUGUCUAGUUCCAUGAUAUGUAAGCAUAUUCAUGUGAUUCUAAAUAAAGAAAACGCUUUCAAGCAAGGAAUAGAGGCUGUUCAUAUCAUCACAACAUUACAAACACGCAUAUAUUACCCAAAUCAUACUACAAGUAAUUAAAGGCAAACAAUUCAAAAAAAUAAAUCAUAUAAGUCUAAGAAAUAUUUAGUACCUUAAGGAAAACACUAAGGUGGCGUUUGUUUUUUAACUUAAUGACUUAAAGUGACUUAACUUAAUUAAUUAAGUUAAUUAAAGGUGUUUGUUUUUAUAACUUAAUGAGACUUUUUAGAUAAUUUUGACUUAAUAAAAUAAGCCAAUUUUUUUAGCUUUUUACUUAAUGGAGAAAUCUGAAUUAAGUCAAUUACUUACUAAUGUCAAAAAUAUCCUUGCUUUAUAAUUUAUUUUUCAUGUUUAUCCCAAACUCAUCCAUAGACAUUUACCCUACAUAAAAAUAUCCAUGUUUUUCUUUCUUAUAUUAUAUACGAUAAAAUUUAAAAUUUAUGGUAUUUUAUCUAUUAAAAUUCUAAAAUAAUUAUGUAUUUACUUGAAUUUAGUUUUACUUAUAAAUGUUAAAAUAUUGUGGCAUUUAAUAUAUUAUUUAUUUGACAUUCAAAUUUAAUAAGGAUACAAAUGUAAAAGUACAUAUUUUUAACUUUUUAAGUUGAAAAAAACAAACAACUUAAUACUUAUUUUCUGAGAUUCAGACGAAAAAAUAAACAUAUUAUUCAGAUUCAGACAUUCAGAUCUAUUCAGAAUUCAGACUAAUUCAGGUAUAUUCAGAUUUUAGAUAAAAAAACAAAUGCCACCUAAAAAAAGAAAGUUAUAAAACUUUCUUUUCCUUCUCCAAAGACUUAUGUUUCUUUUUUUUUUUUCUUUCUAGAGUUUGUAACGGUGUAGAAAAUAAAAGACGACUUCCUCUUAAAUACUUGUCAAUUAAUAAAUACUUUUAAAAAAAAAAUUAAUAACUUACAUAAUUUAUUUAAAGCAAUUUGAUAAAUUUUACCCACACACAAACACUCAAUAAUAAUUAUCCUACUCAAUUUUGAUAAGGGUAAAAGUAGAAAAAUAAAUAAAUAAAUAAAAGUGGGCGUUACAUGUUUGGCAUAUGUCGAUGACAUUUCUAAAAUUACCCACUCUCAUGUUUGGCUUUUUUGAGAGUCCUCAUCAAUCAACAUAAAAUUUCAUCUCAUACCUUGCAUAAAUACUAAACUAGGGGUUGUGUGCAUAUCUUGUGGACCAAUUAGCAAUAACACAUCCUCUUCACGAAACACCAAUAGAUGUCAUAAUUACUAUCUCUUUCUGUUGAUUUAGAACUACUUUCCAAAUUUGCUAUAUUCCAACAAUCUCUUUUAAGAUGUUUUGAUUACCUACACUCGUCCAAGGGUUUCUACUAGUGGAAUAGGCCUUACAUUGUUCUUUGCUUUACUUGUACAGACAUAUUGAAUCAUUACGUUAUUGAUUUGAGCUUCCCAUAAGCAAACAUUGAUUAUUCUGUCAAACUUUUUCGUUUCUAUCUUCAUAGGUUUUGAAAACCUCCUUGUUGCCAUAUUUGCUCUACAUUGCAACCUUAGCUCUAUUAUCACCUACUAAGAAAUAAUUAAUCCCACUUAAGAUUCGUAAGAAAAAAUAUCAAAUAAAUAGUAAAUAUAAAAUAGAUAGAAAAUAAAGCCAAUCAAAUAAUACAAAAUUUACAUGAAAACUUCUAUAUUGGAGAAAAACUAUAAUAGCCAAGGAUGAUAAGAGAAAAAAUUAUUAUAAUUACUCUAGUAUUUUUUUAACACCUAAAACACCAAAAGCACCUAAUCUCUUAAUAGAACUAUCUUUUCUCUCGCAGUAAAAACUAUUUACUUACAGACAAUCGAUUGUUAUAUUAUGCAAAUAAGUAAACCUAAUCUCCAUAUAUGUGUGUGUGUGUGUGUGUGUGUGUGUGUGUGUGUGUGUGUCUAUGUAGGUAUGUAUGUAUAUAUGUAUGUAUGUGUAUGUAUGUGUAUAUAUAUAUAUAUAUAUACUCACACAUAUAUAGAUACCUACAUACAUACAUACAUACAUAUAUAUAUGUACAUGUAUGUACAUACAUACAUAAAUACAUACAUACAUACAUACAUACAUACAUACAUACAUAUACACACACACAUACAUGCAUACAUACAUACAUACAUACAUACAUACAUACAUAUAUGAUUUGUAUUCCUCUUUGAAUAAGUUAAGUUCUAAAGAGAAAAUUACUUAUUUGUUAAAUAUGAAUUAUCUUCAAUAAGAAAACUGAAAAGUGUAGAAAAUUCCUAAUUUAGGACUUAAAAAUCUUCUUUGAAAAAAGAGACAUCUCCCAAUAUCCUCAAAUCCUCUUUACAAUGCCACCAAAUCUCUUUUGUGACUAGCCCGGUUGAAACUUUUAAUUAAUGGGCUGUAAUUGCCAAUAUCCAAAAUAUCCAAAUAAAACAAAUUUCCAUAGGUAUAUUGGUAGAUUGAAUGACAACUAACAACACGUGAUUUGAUUAACUUAUUUCCAAAAAAAAAAGAAAAAAAAAAGAUACAAUGGAUGAACAUAAGACUCUUGUGCCAACUCAUGGAAUUCAUCAAUAAGGCCUUGGCUGAUCCACCUCAUGACUAGUAGAGUUCAAACCCCCGCUAAAUAGUAAAAAAACUAUUUGGAUUAUUAAUUACUCUUUCUUAAGUCUAUUUAAACUUAACUUUAAGAAUUAUGAACGUCUACACUUUAAUUAAAACAAUACAAGCCCACCCGUUUGUAUUUAAAAUUUUGUUUGAAUUUAUUCACGAGCAACAAGAAUAGUAUAAAUGGAAAAAAAAACCAUCAAAUAAUAUCCCAUGACUCUGUUUCUUCAAUUUCAGGAGCAAUGGUGGAAUCAUAUUUUCCGAUUGAAAAACUUUUGGAAAAAUUAGUGAGCUCUACUUGUGAAGAACUUUUAUUGUUCUACGGUGUCAAAAAUGACUUAUAAAAAUUAAAGGAGACGUUAACCACUGUCAAAAGUGUGGUUUUGGAUGCUGAGGAAAAGCAAAUCCAUAAUCACCGGUUAAGCGAUUGGCUGGGAAAGCUUAAAGAUGCUUGUUAUGAUGCAGAAGAUGUGUUGGAUGAAUUUGAGGUGGAAAAUCUACGAAGGCAAGUCAUGAAGCAAAGAAGCAUCGGAAGAAAGUUUCGUAACUUUUUUGGAAGCUCAAAUCCGAUAGCUUUUCGUUUUAGAAUGGGCCAUCAAAUCAAGAAAAUUCGAGAGAGAUUUGAUGAGAUUGCAAAAUUGAGGGGUGAGUUUAAUCUCAUUGAACGACUUGACGAUCAUCAGCGAGUUGUGCACAAAGAAAGGGAACCCACUCACUCGUUUGUGCUUUCAUCUGAUAUUAUUGGAAGAGAUAAAGAUAGAGAGAAGAUUAUUGAACUAUUGAUGCAAACAAGUGACGGCGAAAGUGAAACUGUGUCUGUGGUUCCUAUUGUGGGACUUGGAGGUUUGGGCAAGACUGGACUUGCAAAAUUGGUGUACAAUGAUCAAAGGGUAGAAGAGCAUUUUGAGUUGAAAAUCUGGAUAUGUGUUUCUGAGGAUUUUGAUGAGAAACAACUUAUGACAAAGAUUAUCAAGUCGAUAACUGGUCAAAACCAAGGUGACUUGGAUACAGACCAAUUGCAACGAACCUUGCGAGAUCGUUUGAAUAGUAAGAGAUACUUGCUUGUUAUGGAUGAUGUAUGGAACGAAGAUCCUGAAGCAUGGCGUAAAUUAAAAAGCUUAUUGUUGGGAGGUGCUAACGGAAGCAAAAUUUUGGUAACCACACGUAGCAGGAAGGUUGCUUCAAUCAUGGGCACGAGGGGAGGUACUACUGGCUACAACUUACAAGGUCUACCAUUCGAGGAUUGCUUGUCUUUGUUUAUGAAAUGUGCAUUUAAAGAAGAGCGAGAUAAACAUCCAAACCUUGUUAAAAUCGGGGAAGAAAUUGUGAAAAAAUGUGGGGGAAUUCCUCUGGCAGUCAGAACACUAGGAAGUCUACUAUAUGACUCAACGGAUGAACAUGAUUGGGAAUAUGUGAGGGAUAAUGAGAUAUGGAAGUUAGAGCAAAAGGCAAAUGACAUUUUACCUGUUCUGAGGUUCAGUUAUGAUCAACUACCGCCUCGCCUGAAACAAUGUGUUGCUUAUUGUUGUAUCUUUCCAAAGGAUUUUGAAUUUAGUAGUUAUGCUUUGGUUCAAUUUUGGAUGGCUCAUGGUCUUCUCCAAUCGCAUAAUAAGAAUGAAGAGUUAGAAGAUAUUGGUAUGCGGUACGUGAAGGAAUUACUAUCAAGAUCUUUCUUCCAAGAUUUGACUAUUGGGAUGUUAGGAAUGGAGACGUUCUCUUUCAAAAUGCGCGACCUUAUGCAUGAUCUUGCUCAGCAAGUGGCCAAAGAUGAAUUCCUAGUAGUGAACUCUGAUUGUCAAUCUAUUCCCAAAAGUGUCCGUCAUUUGUCAUUUGCUACUGCUAAUGCAUCGAGAAAUGACUUUUCAAGCCUUUUAUCUGAUCUAGGUCGUGUGAGAACCAUUUUCUUUUCACCUGAUGAUGAGAAGACAAGCCAAUCAUUUGUUGAAUCAUGCAUCUCAAAGUCGUAGUUCCUGAGAGUGCUAGAUUUAAAUGGCUCUGCUAUUGAGGUUUGUCCCAGAAAGAUGGGUAAUUUGAAGCACAUGAGGCGUCUUGAUCUGGCGGGAAAUUCUAAAAUCAAGAAACUUCCAAAAUCCAUUUGCGAGCUACAGAGUUUACAAACACUGAAUCUUGAAGGAUGUCUGGAGCUAGAAGAGUUGCCUAAAGACAUAAGGUACCUUGUUAGUCUCAGAGUGUUAGGGCUAACCACAAAACAAAAGUCUUUGCAAGAGAGUGGAAUAAGGAGCUUGAGUUCUCUUCGUUGGUUGUCAAUUUCUAAAUGCAGGAAUUUAGAACAUUUGUUCGAGGAGAUAGAUCAAUUAUUGUCCUUCGAACAUUAUUAAUUGCUAAUUGUCCUCGUCUAAUCUCAUUGCCACCUGCUAUCAAAUAUCUCAGCUCAUUAGAGACUCUGAUGUUGUGGAAGUGUGAAAGCCUUGAUCUUAAUCUGAACGUGGAAAUGGAAGGUGAAGGAAGUCAUCAUGAUUGCAAAGACACAAGGCCUCACCUUUGGAGGGUUUUCGUUGUGGAAAUAACACUGUUAUUAGAACUGCCGCAAUGGCUUCUUCAAUGUUGUACUGAUACUUUACGGAACUUGGUUAUUGGAGAUUGUCCCAACUUCAUGGCACUGCCAGGGUCUCUAAAAGAUCUCAAAGCUCUUGAAACUCUUACCAUUCUAGGAUGUCCAAAAUUGUCAUCGUUGCCGGAGGAUAUGCAUGACGUCACAACUCUGAAAUCAUUGACCAUUGCAGGAUGUCCUGCACUGAGUGAAAGAUGCAAACCGCCAACAGGUGAAGAUUGGCCCAAGAUUGCACAUAUCCCUCAGGUUCAUCUUGAUGGCGAGAUGAUUGAAUCAAGUGAUAAUUAGGUAUGGAUUUUUUUUUUUCAAUAAGCGUACCACUCUGUUAUAUUUCCUCUUUUCAUGCAGCUUUCUAAUUUUUAAUUUCUCAUACAGCUAUACCGUUUAUAGUUUAAUGUUUUGUUAUGUUUACCAAACGAAAACUUGACUUUGAACGUUAGUUAGUUCAAUCAAAUUUGUACUAAUUUAUUUUCUUCUAAUACAUAAUUAUUUUGUCGGUACGAAAAACAAAAAUAAUAUUUUGGAAACCGCACUGUUCUCGGGGUCAGAUCUGUUUCUAAAUUCAAACAGUUCAGGAUUUUUCAAAAUGGAACUUAUAAUGAGAUUUUUUUUUUAAUUAUCUAGUUAUCUUCAUAUGGAAUUUCAAUCUUUGUUAAUACUUUAACUUGCCCCGAAACAUCUGACUAUUCUUCCUCUUGUCCUUUUUUUUUCCCAAAUAUUGCAGCUUUCUUGGGAGAGGUUCAACCAAACUGCAGGGACAGUGAAAAUAUUACUCUAAGUUACAAGUAUUAUAUAUUCGUUACGUGUGGUUAUGUAAUUUGCUGAUAAAUAAGUACAUUGAGUGAGGUAUAUGUGUGUGCCUGUGUGGUCAUUACUGAAUUUCUCAGUAAUAUAAUUUGCAUUGACUGCAGAUUUGUGAAGAACAUUGAUUCCAAACAUGUGGUGUCUGUAUUUUGUGCUUUGUGAUUGACGACUUACAUUUGCCCAGGAAGAAAUGAAAACAAAUCGGCUUCUUGAAAUUAACCAUUUAUUCUUUCGAAUGGUAACCUUUUUGUGACAUGAUUCGCAUAUUAAUCAAACGUAGUUGGCAAACUAAUUAGAUAUUGCAUCGUGAUUCGUGGCCUUGAAGUGAAAUGAGUGUUGGUGCUAAUUAGCAAUGUAACUUGUUUUGAUUAAAAUUCAAUGACUUUCUUCGUAUUAAUCAAAUUAAUUAAUAAAUUAUUUUGGUAAAAAGAAUUUGCCAAUUUUGUGGCGGUCUUGAGACCCUUGACGGUGGUGAAAUUGAUUCACGGUUUCAAAUGAAGACAUGCAGCGGAUGCGUGCGUGCCGUAUGACAUCGAUGAAAAAGUAAAGAGUUUGAUUUCUCUAUUUUACCCUUAAUUAAUCGUUGACGUCUAAUUUUACACUCCCAACAAAUUUGAAUGAAACAAUCCUAAUGUUCACUUUCUUCUUCCAUUUCAUUUUACGACUUAACAAAAUCUCGCAACGGAGAUGCUCCUGAUGAGGAGAAGGAGAAGAAGACACAGCGAGUUCGCAAGAACGUGUACAGAGGAAUAAGGCAGAGGCCAUGGGAGAAAUGGGCAGCUGAAAUUAGAGACCCUUACAAGGGCGUCCGCGUUUGGCUCGGCACAGCCGAAAAAGCUGCAAGAGUUUAUGCUGACGUCGCCAAGAAUAUCCGUGGCUCGACUUUGCUCACCGGCCGCCAGUAACUCCACCUCCAGGUAAGAAACGCUUCGUGCUAUCCCGUGAGUUGACUCACCCGAAUUUCGGAGAUUACUUUUUUAUUGGUUUUCAUUGAUUUCUUUUCCUGCUCUUAUCUACGAGGUUGUGCUUUCCCUUGGAUGCCCUUUAAUAAACAGCUUUCUUAAUAACAACUGAAGCGAAAAGUCAUUUUAUCAAAUGAUUUGGUGAAAUUUCAAGUACUUUCAUCUUGGUUUAUGCAGUUAAUAGGAAAUAGUUUGGUGUUGGGAUGUGUUAUAUGUAUCAAGUUCUUAUUGCUGGUUUGUUUCUCAUAAUCGUUAUCCAGUCAAAGCAAACGUUCGCCUCUCACAUUGACGGUUAGGCUAGAUGUUUGACCCUGAAUAAGAUGAUUGAGUUUAUUAUAGUCUUCUUAUAUUGUCGGUUCAAUAUCAUUUUGAAAUAUCACAUCAAUUCCGCGUUUGGAGUUUUAAUCCAUGCCCAGUUACACCUUUAUUUUACUUUUAAGCUGCAACAUUGAGUCACAUUCUUUUUCUGUUAUUAUUACGAUUAGCGACUGGUACAGUGGUAUUUGAACUGCAUAGCGUGUCAACUUUCACUCUAAAUGUCUUAGAAACUCUGUCUAUCACUAAUUUCCUAGAACAGGCCUCGUUGACAGUCAAAGAUUUGAGGCGUAUUUCUGGACUGAAGGCUUUUCUCUAGUCAAUUUGAUGAUAAGCGCAUUUAUUAUCUCCAGCAUUAAGCAGUAAUUUGUAACUAGUAGUAGCCAGUACCUAAGAUGUUGCAUUUGACUGUCUUCUCUUUCUGGUUCAGUUUCGACCUUUGGAGCUGUUUUAGACAUGGUAACGGAUAGGUAAUUUCUCUCUACCCCACCCCACAAUGUAUCAUCAGUCAUCAUUCGUUGUGGUUGGUGGAGAUACACAUACUAAUUUGGAUUAUUGUCCGUGCCUUCGUCUUUUGUCAAUAAUCUUUUGCAUUUCAGGAUUAGUACAGCUUGUCUACUGGUAAUACUCUCUCAAGUAUACAGGGAAGACUUUGUUACGUUUUCUUGACCCGUAAUCUAAUGUUUUAAGAUGAAGGCAUAAUUGAGCUAUCUUGCAUCUCCAUGCAGGCCUGGUUUGGUUUUUGUGUCACUACCUGUAUUAGAUAUUGGUAGUCAAUGGCUGCAGAUGUACAGGUACCUUUUCGUUUCCCUGACAUAAUCUCAUGUUACAUGAAAUUGCUCGUGGAACUGGGAGAUUUUUUAUUUUUUAUUUUUUCAUAUUUACUAAAGAAAAGUGUUACUUUCGUUGGGAAAAAUGCCUACCACUCUUUAUCUCUGUUGCAGUACAUUCUUAACAGGAAAAACUCGACAUAAAGAUGCAAAAGACAGCACAAAUUGGCUUUUCAAAGCCUAUUAUGGGAACCGGAUGUUUAUGGGUUAUUGUUGUGUGGCGUGUGAGGUAAUUGUAGCUUUCCGUGUUAUUAUACAUAUCAGGAUUUGCAAAUGUUAUCGGUACUUUUUACCUGAUCCAACUGUUUCAACCCUGCAGCUUCUUUACCUAAUCCUAUUUCUUAUUGCGUAGAAGCAGAGGGAAAGCUUGGUGGAUGUAGGCUCUCAUUUUCUUACUAUUAGAUUGUUCUGAAAAUAGAAAUAUUUCCCCUGUUUCUUGAUUUUCAAACAAUUUCUUCUUUCAGGUUGUGGCGAGUGCUGUGCAACAGGGUUCGCCUCUUUCCUUCCUAGUUGCAUUGAGUUUAUUCGCAUGGGCGCAAUCAAGCAAACGAUUAAUGUCGGACAGGUAACUUCAACCCCAUAUGAUGGUAAUGUUCGUUUAAAUAAAUUUCUUGAUGUCUACAAAUUAAGGAAACCUUUGUAUGGGUAAAGUUGACAUUUUACACUGGCAUUAUGGGUCUUGAAAUCGGUCUGUUUUAGAUUCACAUGCUGUGAUAUGCUCUAAUGUUAAAACUCAAACCUCUUCUGCAUGUUAAAUGGAUUGUCGUGGAUAUGCCUGGGAUGAUCAUUUUCUUCGUUUUCACUCAUCGUCUUUGUCAUUGUAGUUAUAAUUGAUUGUGGAGAGUGAAAACGCACUGUGAUGAAUGAAUGCAAAAGCUAUGUAAUUAAGACUACAUUUAUUAGGUUGGUGACCACAAAUAAUCGGAAGGAUAUUCACAAUAGUGUUAUUGAAGCUCUAUAUGGAAUAAGGAGACCAAACCUGUAUGUGAUAAGAGUUGUAUGAAUACCAAAUGAAUUGUCAGAGGAUAUGGUUACUUUAGAUUGCAAUUUAAGAAUGCUUGAGUUCUAAAAGCACAGAAAUGGGAUCAGUUAGGGUAAACUCCUUCGUCAGUUAGUGAACUGUCCAUCAAAAGUAAAUAUUUAUGUGAUUGAGAGAAAUUUUGGAUUUUUGAUGAAAACAAAAAUCCUGUAUGCAUUUGCUUGCCCCCAAGGAGCUGAAGAUUCUCAAAUUGUUUGUAGACGUAAUAGUUCUUCUGAUAUCAUUUGGCUUGCUAAUCUUUCUUGCUCGAAAAUUUACCCGUUGUGUGGUCUUGAUGGUGGAUGAAAUUGAUGUGUGGUUUCAGAUGAAGACGGCAGCAGAUAUGUGUGUGCCAUAUGACAUCGAGAAAAAGCAAAAGCCUUAAAGAGUUCAUCAACAUUUUCCAUUCAGAAGAAUAUGUUUUGUGGUUUUCAAUAUAAUUGAAGAAAUGAUGUUUGUACUGAUGCAGAUGCAGGAACUUUACACAUCUUAAGUUUACGAGAUAUAUAUAUAUUUUUUUGACUCUGUUAGAUAGCUGUCAGUUAGUUAACCAAUUUAUGUUACUCUUCCUUGGCUAGCCAAUUAAGAACUUAUGUUUGCUGGAUUGUAAAGCCUACAUCUGGAAGCCACAGGUGAUUUUAUUUGAAGGCAAUUUGUACUAGGCUAUAUGCGGAUUUCUAUCUUGAUUUCUGUAUGCUUGAAGGAGAUUUUUUUAUGCGUGAGAGCUUGAAAAUUAUACAUGUACAUGUUGAAACUAUUGGAUAUAUGUUAAGAAUCAAGCAUAAUUGUGUCAAGAUGAAACCAUAAUUUGGGUGCUGUUUUAUGAGUAAACUAUCUGCAAUUUGGGUGCAGUAAACCUAGGUUGAAUACCAGGACAUGGUAUAAAAGUGAAAUCACACAUUGAAUCUCGCAUAAAGAUUUUAAAGAUGCAAAUUCGAAUUGUACAUGAGAUGUUAUCUUGAUCGAAUUGCAGCGGCUUUGUUUUGGAUCCAGAAAACAAAAUUGAAGGCAUAGAGAAGUCUCUAUGGGAUGCUUAUAUUAAGGUGCAUAAUGGCCUCAUUGAGUUUUGUGCUGUUGUUCUACGUUGUUUGAGUUUUGUGCUGCGGUUCUGUGUUGCUGCUUUUGCUACCGAUUUUGGCUAUUUUCUGCCACUCUGUUAUUUGCUAUUUUUUACUACUUUCGCUGCUGAUUUUUACUGUUUUCGCUGCUUUAGCUGUUGUUUUAUCUGCUGUUUUUUUUUACUGCUUUUAUUUUUUAUUUUUUCUGUUCUCUAUCGUGUUUUACCCACUGGUUGUCGCAUGUUUAUUAAUAUUGUUUGCUGCUGUUUGAUUUGCUGUUUUUUGCUGCUAAUUUUUUUUCCUGUUUUCUGCGGUUAUUUGCUGCCGUUACUGUUUUACUCGCCAGUUGAUGAUGUUUUGUGGUUCUCCUCCUCGAAUGCCUACUUUUUCCAGUGUGCAAGCAUAUCUGUUGAGAGUGGCUGAUGAAAUCACUAAACUGUUACAGUUGAUCUCAUGCUUCUCUAGAGAAGGAAUUAGACUUAUUUUGGUGAAGGGGUUUUUUCUGGUUUUUAUAUCAGUGUGUGCAUUUCUUCAAUCACGUAGCUUUGUGGCAUUACGAUCGAUAAUGGCUGUUAAGCGAAUAAAAGCACCAGGUCGGCCAUACUAUUAUUGCCACCCCGGCAUGGAUCACCUCAGCCCUGUGGUACGAGCAGAGCACAGGGGCACACAUCGACCAGAUGUUCAUAUCAAACCGAUAUACAUUCCCCAGAAAAGCGGGAACACGAUCCCACAGAAUCACUGCAGUUGCGCUUUGCCCAGAACCGUUGAAGGACACGGGAGAUCCCACGUUUGCCACAAUGCAACAAUCAGAGCCCCAUGAGGGGCGGCCACCACCCGAAAAAAGGGGGAUAGAGGGUAAGCGGAAAACGUGGGACAAACAGCGGCUAUAAAAGAAGAGGAAAUCGAUGAAGAAAAGGACACAGAAAAAUUGAGAGGGGAAAACGCUGCCAAAUUGCAACCAGGCCAUUUUCUUACAAAUUUCGAACAAACUUCUUGAAUCCAAAUUACAUUGUUUUCCCGUAAACACCUUGUACUAACUUAGGCAUCGGAGGGUUUACGCCGGCAAAACCACCGGCGUCUCUGAUCCGUUUUUGCUGAACGCAGGUCUAGUGAGAGAAAGGAGGGUGAUUCCAGCCUUAGCGGUUCGUGCAACAGUCGAUAUCUUAAACGUUGGUGGAAGAAUCUGGUCAGUCCAAGGACGAGCAGAUUUCGGCAUCAACAUUUUGGCGCCGUCUGUGGGGAGCUGGAUAAAAAGCUACCACCGAAUCAGUAGUUACCGGAGAAACAGCGAACGAUUAGAUAUGGAUGUGCCGAGAAAGGAUGCUUUGAGGGAGGAUAACGAAACUGUGGAGACAAUCACUCUCCGGGAAAUUGCAAAUGAAGCUUGGGAGAGGAUGAUGCAAGACCGAUUGGAGCGGAUGGAGAAACAAAUGGAGACUCUCGCGACCAUAGUGUAUGAGCUGAGGGAUGAGCGGAGAAAGGAUUGUGAAACCCCCGUGGGGAGAGAUGAUGUUGGAGCAGAACCCAGCUUCCGAAGGCGUAGAGUUGAGGAAAUCCCUCCGCCGGUAGACCAACUUAAUGGGGUGCAUCCCCACAGAAGCACUAGUCGGGCUUCAGGAGAACGAGUAGAUGAAGGGAGGGACCAACCUUGCCCCGGACGGGUACCGGAGAUUGAUGGCCGAGGGGCCAGUAUUGAUGAAGGAGAGCUCAGACAGCGGUUGCAAAAUGCCGAGCAGGAACGAGUUCAGAUAGCUGCGCGUGAUCCUGACCGUGCCGUAGAAUUGGAGGAAGAAGUGCGCAGAUUAGCGCAAGUGAUAGAGGAGAUACAGGGCAAGAGAAAGUCCCCGAGCUGGAGGAUAAUGCUAGAUGAAGAAUCUCCACUAUCAGCUGUGAUCAUGGGUACCAUAAUCCCAAGAGAUUUCCGCUUUCCCGACCUCAAAUACUCCGGGCGAAGUGAUCCAUUGGUGCAUAUUGAACGUUUCAACGACGUGACGGGUGUUCAAGGGUUAACACCAGCCCAGAGAUGUAGGGUGUUACCAUUGACACUGGAAGGACGAGCCGGAGAAUGGUACCGCAAGCUGUCACGAGGAAGUAUCAGAGGGUACGAGCAGAUGUGCCAAGAGUUGGCCGAACAGUUCCGAGGAGCAGUGGCCUCAGAGGAUGAUAUGAUGGAGCUAAUGGGAAUGAAGCAGGAGGAACAAGAAUCCCUUCGGGAUUUUGUAAAACGAUACCACCGAGCCGUGCUUGAUUUGGGGGCCUUCAAUCACCCGCAGGCGUUGAGGGGAUUAAAGGAGGGAGUGAGGAUAGGCCGGCUAUGGUAUAACCUGAGAAGUCCCUUGGUACAAAAUUACUCAGCGGGGUAUGAGCAGGCAAAGAGAGACAUUGAAAUCGAAGAGAAAAAGUCGGCGAGGAUAAAAAGUGAACAACUGGAGGAGCUGAGAAGAAAGGAAAGGAGAAUCCCGAGUGGGAGCGGAUCGGGAAAGCGAGCUGGGGAGUCCUCAGCUAUGGGCGGAAUAUCAGCUUGGUCCCGCCCUUACCACGUAGCUCCGAGACCACAACAGUUCCAACACAGCCGAGCCCAACCUCCGCGCACUUCAUUCCCGGAGCGGCAACGAGAAUUCAGGCAGAUGGCUGCCCGCCCUUAUUACAACGCUCCCAGAGCAUUACAUGCAAGUGGUUCCAGGGCAGGAAGACCAGACCAGCUAGCGACUAUACCAACCCGAGAUGACAUUCAGGAUAGCCGAGCAGUUCAACUGGUAGACCAGAGCUUGGCAUAUAGACAGUACACUCCAUUGAAGAUCUCAAUGGAGGAAUUGUAUGAGAGGAUCGAAGGACGAGGCCUGCUGUACCCGCCAGCCCCUAUAACAAAACUGGCUCACCGACGGGAUAAGAACAGAUUCUGCAAGUUUUACGACACUCAUGGUCACACAAUCGACCAAUGUCGUGACCUGAAGAUUCAGGUGGAGGACUUAGUACGGAACCGGUACUUGGAUGAGUAUGUAGAGGGGGUGUCCCCGAUCAUCGAAUCAAAGUAUAUACGGGAUGAAGAAGUUCAGAGGGGUUUGGAACGUGAACAGCCGACCAUCCAUGUGAUAGCUGGGGGGCCAACAUUGGCUGGGGAUUCGAACAGAGCACGGAAGAACUAUGGGAGAUACGCCAUGACUGGCAAAGAGGUGCUUCUAAAUUUGCCAGCGGCCAAGAAGGCGAAGGUACGGCAAGUUCCCAUUAUGUGGACGGAGGAUGACGAGGAGGGUAUUUUGUAUCCUCAUGAGGAUGCACUGGUGAUUAAAGCAUUGGUGGCUAGCACAGAAUUGCGGCGAAUACUGGUGGACACGGGCAGUUCAGUUGACAUUCUAUUUAAGUCAGCCCUAAAUGAUAUGGGGAUUUUAGAUUUAAAGCUGGAGCGGAUGAAUACAUCCUUAAAAGGAUUUGGAGGGGGACGGUUAACUCCCUUGGGGAUCAUUGAACUCCCGAUUACUGUGGGGACAAAGCCGUUUGAAAGAACGGUGAUGCUGGACUUCGUCGUGGUAGAGGAAAGAAGCCCUUAUCAGAUGAUAUUGGGGAGACCGUUCAUGAGGAUAAGCCAAUGCGUUGUAUCAACGCAUUAUUUGGCGCUAAAGUACAGAGUAAAUAAAGUGGUAGGCGUUGUAAAAGGCGACCAGAGGAUGGCAAGGAGCUGUUAUGCUACAGCAGCCAAGGAGACAUUAUAGGUUACUUCUCUGGAUAAUCGAGGAGAUUCUAAAAAGGGUCGCCAAGAGCCUGUUGAAAAGCUAGAAGAGAUUGUUAUAAGCAGAAGCAACCCGAGUAGAGUGGUUAAGAUCGGAUCAGGACUGGUCGGGACAGUAAAAGACGAGCUGGUAAAGUGCCUACAGUCCCAUGCAGAUAUAUUCGCCUGGUCUCACGGGGACAUGCCAGGAAUUGAUCGCAAGGUAGCUUGCCACAAGUUGACAAUCAAGAAGGGGGCAAGGCCGGUGAGACAGAAGAGGAUAUGCUUUAACCAGGAAAGGUACGAGGCCAUAAACACCGAGGUGGAGAAGCUGUUGAAAGCAUGAUUUAUAAGGGAGGCCAAGUACCCAGAGUGGAUUUCCAAUGUAGUACUGGUGAAGAAGGCCAACGGGAAGUGGAGAAUGUGUGUGGAUUUCACAGAUCUUAAUAAGGCGUGCCCGAAAGACAGUUUUCCUCUACCAAAGAUAGACCAAUUGGUGGAUUCGACAGCGGGUCACAGUCUGCUCAGCUUCAUGGAUGCCUUUUCGGGAUACAACCAGAUACCCAUGGACGAGCAGGAUGAGGAAAACACCACCUUUAUAACUAAUAUGGGUUUGUUUUGCUACAGGGUAAUUCCUUUCGGCCUGAGAAAUGCCGGAGCUACGUAUCAAAGGAUAGCGAACAAGAUCUUCAAGCCCUUGAUUGGACAUACUAUGGAGGUAUAUGUAGACGAUAUGAUCACAAAGUCCAAAGAACCGAGGGAUCACGUGAAACACUUGGAAGAAACCUUUGAAUUGUUGAGGAAGUAUGAAAUGAGGCUAAACCCGGAGAAGUGUGCAUUUGGGGUUAGCUCGGGCAAAUUUUUAUGAUUCCUAGUAAGCCACCGAGGGAUCGAGGCCAACCCGGAAAAAAUACGGGCGGUGAUAGAAAUGAGGUCCCCACGAACAGUUAAGGAGGUGCAGAGCCUUACAGGGAAGUUGGCAGCAUUAAACCGAUUCAUCUCGCGGGCCACAGAUAAAUGUCACCCUCUCUUCCAAACCAUAAAGAAAGGGAAAAAGAUGGAGUGGACAUCAGAAUGCGAGGAAGCGUUUGAGCAGCUGAAGGAAUACCUGACCCGGGCCCCAUUACUAUCGACUCCGAGAGAGGGUGACCAGCUGCUGUUGUACUUAGCAAUCUCUAAAUGGGCUACCAGCUCGGUAUUAGUCAGGGAAGAAGAAGGAAAGCAACACCCGGUAUACUACACGAGCAAGGCCCUGGUAGAUGCAGAAACUAGAUACCCAUUGAUGGAGAAGUGGGCGCUGGCUCUAAUAACGGCAGCACGAAAACUCUGACCAUAUUUUCAGGCCUAUCAGGUUAUUGUGAUGACCGACCAGCCGCUUCGGCAAACACUUCAAAAAUCAGAUGCAUCGGGUCGAUUAGUAAAAUGGUCCGUAGAGCUAAGUGAAUUUGACCUCUCCUAUAGGCCCCGAGGAGCAAUCAAAGUCCAAGCUCUGGCAGAAUUUAUGGUUGACCGAGCUGAUACAGGGGAAGAAAUUCGGGAGGAGCAACUAACAGAGCAGGAGAAGCCAGAGGGGGUGUGGUUGGUAAUGGUUCACGGAUCAUGUAGUGAGCAAGGAUCCGGAGCAAGAGUUGUAAUACGGAGCCCAGAUGGAACCGAAAUAACGUAUGCAGUGAAGUUUGAAUUUCAGCUCACAAACAACCAAGCUGAAUAUGAGGCCUUUAUCACCGGGCUCGGACUUGCACAUGCUCUAAGAGCAGAGAGGGUAGAAAUUCGAGCAGAUUCCCAACUGGUGUGUAAUCAGCUCAAUGAUCAGUUCGAAGCAAGGGGAGAGAAGAUGUGUCUUUAUUUGAAGAAAGCGAAGCAGAUGGUUGGGCUUUUCCAAGCGGUGGAGGUAAAGCAGAUAUCUCGGAAUGAGAAUUACCGAGCAGAUAUGUUGGCUAGGAUGGCUGCCAUUGCAGAUCCAAAAUUACCUAAGUCGGUUCCACUAGAGGUGAGGAUCUCACCAAGUAUAGAGGAAGAAGCAGAGGUUAUGAGAAUAAGUACUGGAGAAUCUUGGAUGGACCUGAUUCGCGCAUAUGUCCGCGAUGGAGUUUUACCAGAGGACAAAAGGCAAGCAAGAAAAUUAAAAUGCCGAGCAGCGAGGUAUACGCUACUGGAUGGAGUGCUGUACUGCCGAGGGUUCACCUUGCCCCUUUUGAGAUGUUUGGAUGAUGAGGAGGCGGAUUAUGUGCUGAGAGAGAUUCAUGAGGGAAUAUGCGGCAAUCACUCGGGAGCAAGAACUUUAGCCUUCAAGGCACUCCGACAAGGAUACUUCUAGCCAACCAUGCACCAGGAUGCGAAAAAGAUGGCAAAGAAUUGUAAAACAUGCCAAAGCUUCUCCGAGGUUCCUGCACAACCCUCGGAAAAGCUGACGGCUAUGACAUCCUCGUGGCCUUUCGCUCAAUGGGGAAUCAACUUGAUUGGUCCGUUGCCUAAGGGACGAAGAGCGGCGACACAUGCAAUUGUGGCAAUAGACUACUUCAUCAAGUGGGUGGAAGUGGGAGUCCUCAGCCAAAUCACAGAGAGAAAGACAAUAGAUUUUAUUUGAAAAAAUAUCAUCUGCAGAUAUGGGAUCCCUUACGCCAUCAUCACAGACAAUGGGAGGCAAUUUGACAACAGCAACUUCAGGAAAUUUUGCCGAAACUUGGGGGUGGACCUGAAGUUCUGUACCCCCGCACACCCCCAGGCAAAUGGACAAGUGGAAGCAGCCAACAAGGUGAUAAAGAAGCUCCUGAAGACUAGAUUGGGAGAGAAUAAGGGAGCUUGGGUUGACGAGCUACCAGGAGUAUUGUGGGCCUAUAGGACAACUCACAAAACCGCCACAGGGGAAACCCCGUUCGCUUUAGCUUUUGGUCAUGAGGCGGUAGUCCCAGCAGAAGUGGGAGUGGGGACACAUCGGACGGAAUAUUUCACUGAGGAGCAAAAUGACGAGCAGAUCUGCUUGAGUCUGGACCUGCUGGAGGAAAAAAGGGAAGGGACAUCGCAGAGAGUGGCCCAGUGUCAACAAAGGGUCAUGCGUUAUUACAACAAGAACGUACGCGUGAGGCAGUUCCGAGCAGGAGAUUGGGUACUUAGGAAGGUGAACCAGAACACCCGGGAUCCUAACCAUGGCGCUCUUGGCCCAAAGUGGGAAGGCCCAUACCGAGUGAUAUGAGCCACUGGACCAGGAGCAUAUAAAUUAGCGUACCAAGACGGACGAGACGUGAAGAGGUCAUGGAACGCCGAACACCUGAAGAAGUAUUUCCAAUAAGCAAAAUGCUCUAUUAAAUCCUCACUCUGGCAAGUUAUUUCUGUUACAAUGCAUGAUGGCCUGUAGCACAUGCAUAUAUUUUGUAUUUUUGUAAUACAUUCAAAUUUCAAUAAAGAUGAAUUCAGAAUGAAAUCCCCUGCUAGCGAGCCCAAUAAGAAAUUUUUUACUAAGGCAAGUAAGUGCCUACUUCUGCUCGGUCAGUGAAAGACUAGCAGCUAAUUUCUUGUAAAAAUUUUACUAAGGCAAGUGAGUGCCUGCUUCUGCUUGGUCAACAGAAGACCAGUAGCUAAUUUACGAGAACUUUACUAAGGCAAGUGAGUGCCUGCUUCUGCUCGGUCAACAGAAGACCAGCAGCUAAUUUAUGAGAACUUUACUAAGGCAAGUGAGUGCCUGCUUCUGCUCGGUCAACAAAAGUCCAGCAGCUAAAGCUUCGAAAAUUCUACUAAGGCAACAAAGUGCCUGUUUCUGCUCGGUCAACGAAAGACCAACAGCUAAAGCUUCGAAAAUUCUACUAAGGCAACAAAGUGCCUACUUCUACUCGGUCAACAGAAGACCAGCAGCUAAUUUACGAGAACUUUACUAAGGCAAGUAAGUGCCUGCUUCUGCUCGGUCAACAAAAGACCAGCAGCUAAUUUACGAGAACUUUACUAAGGCAAGUGAGUGCCUGCUUCUGCUCAGUCAACGAAAGACCAGCAGCUAAAGCUUCGAAAAUUCUACUAAGGCAACAAAGUGCCUGUUUCUGCUCGGUCAACGAAAGACCAGCAGCUAAAGCUUCGAAAAUUCUACUAAGGCAACAAAGUGUCUACUUCUGCUUAGUCAACGAAAAACCAGCAGCUAAAUUUACGAAACCUUGACUAAGGCAAGUAAGUGUCUGCUCCUGCUCGGUCACUGAAGACCAGCAGGCAAUUUUGCAAAAAUUUUACUAAGACAAACGGAUGCCUAUUCCUGUUCGAUGCACUAAAGAACCAACAGGCAAAACCAGACAAGAAAGCCAAUAGAGAGCAUUCAAAAAAUUUUAUAAACGUUCAAAUGUUUACAAAGCAAAUGAAAAACUAGAGUCUUUACAAAAAUAAGACCUAAGGAUUAGGAGGAUCAACGGCCUCAGCAGGUGAAGGGUCAGCUAUCUCGGGAGGUGGAAGGUCAGUAAUAUCGGGAGGUGGAAGGUCAGCAAUAUCGGGAGGAGGAGGCACGGACCUCUGUCCUACUUCAAAAACACGCUGCCCAGCUUCUCCCUCCUGCACCCCAUCCAAAGGAGCCUCCACCUGCUCCUGCUCACCCUGCUCCUUAUCUGCUUGGUCGACCUCUGCCAUAUACCGCUGCACUCCGGCCUCCAGCUUGCUCAUGUCCAGCUCGGGAUAUUCAGUCUUAAGCACAGACAUGAUGCACUUGUAGGAGAAGGCAACCCCAAAAUCAUACUCGGCAUCCAGCCGAUCAUCCACAUCAGCGGAUUUGCCUCUCUCCUCAGUCAGCUGCUCACCCAAGGAUUUGAUUUCCCCCUCAAGGGCGGCCCUCAAAGUAUUCCUUUCAGUUUGAGUAGCUUGAAGAUCAGAUCUCAGGUCACCCAACUCGCCCUCGAGUUUGGAGGAAGUGGAUUCAGCAACCGCAACCUUCUCCUCUAGCUCCGUAAUCUCCUUGUUCAGCUCAGCCAGCUUCUCCUUGGAGCGAUCAACAGAGUCAGCUUUCUUCUUCAAUUCCUGAUUAUCAGCUUGGAGCUUCCUCUCAUGGCGCGCGGACCCAAUCUUAUAGCACGAAACCAUAGUGGCCAACCUGAAGGACACUCUCUGAACAGAAGCAGCUAGCUCGGAGAGGUUCAUACUCUCGAUGUCCUUCACCAUCUUGGGCCCCACCGAUUUCUUGAAAUCCUUCUGAUACGGGCUCAGGUAGUCUGCUUGAUCCCGAGAUGGUAGAGGAGAAGAUCGGUCCCCAGACUGGUGGCUGGCCUCAGGACUCUUGUCAGAAGUUUUCUCCCCGCCACUCUUACGGGGUGGGGGAGGGGGCAGAGCAGGGACAGGAGCCUUGGAAGGGCCGACGCUGGUUUUCUUCGGAGGAGGAGGGGGGUUGCUGGAGCUACUUGGAGCUCGACCACUCUUCCUGCUCAUUGCGCUAAGGAUCGUGUUAUCCAUUCCAACAGCUAGGUCCACUAGGCCCGAACCGACCAGGCUUGUUGGGGACAGGAGGUCUUGGCAGGUAGAAGCGUUAAACAGAGCAGUUUCCACCCAAAGCAAAGGUCGAUCUUCAAGCCCCCCGAUUAAACCCCACGAUUCUGAAAUAGCAAAAGAGGUUAAAGAACUCGAUAAGUGACAAUUUGACUAAGAACAUAGGCAAAAAUGAACGACCUGGGGUGACAAAAUGUGUGGGAAGAUAAAUGUCCCCACCAAGCGACCGAACCGCUGGACACCAAUUCCCUCCAGCAAAGAAGAAUUUGUUCUUCUAAUUUUUACAUGAAGAGGGAAACCCAAUGAUCGGUUUCCUCUUUGCAGAACUGGACAUAAAGUAGUACCAGCCCGCUUCCCUCGGGCUACUCCGCAGCUGGUACAGAUAUUUCACUUCAACAAGGGAAGGCUCCUCCGACCCGCACCUCUCUCACAACACAAACAUUGCCGAGAGAACCCUCCACCCAUUUGGGUGUAGCUGACCUGGGGCUAGGUGCAUAUCGCCCAAUAUCUUGGCAAAAUAACGUUGAAGGGGCAGCCGAGCUCCUAGUCUGAAACUCUCCAAAUGCAUCGUCACAUACCCUUUCGGAGGCCGACUAGGGACAUCACCUUUUCCAGGAACUACAAGAAGAACAUCGUUGGGGAUGUCGUAGAGGUUCCUAAGCUUAAAUAGAUCAGUGGGGGUGGUGGCACAAGCUAUGAAAUCAAUAGGGUAGGAAUCAGCCUCCACCCUAUGGCCAAGAUGCCUUUUUUUAGCAGGUCCGCUCGGUCCGAAACUACUCCCCUCACCAUCACCAGUUCCUUCAGGGAUCCCAACCCCACUAAAGCCGUGGUCCUCACCAGAGCCCGACGCAGGCCCACCUCUAUUCCCUACAAGCUCUAGUUCGGGGGAGGGAGAGACAACCAAGGGUCGUGGGUACUCAAGGGUAUCCUUACCAUGGGAAGGACCUACACUACUGGAGGGGCCUAAGAAAUCUGUGGGUAUUGACACGUUGAGGCCUGAAUCCCCUGAUUCUUCAUCACCCUCGUCAACAAUUAACUUUCUUUUCCGAUUUGACAUAUCAGAAUCCCAAAAGAAAAACAAAGAAAAGAAAGUUUAGGGUUGACAAGGUUUGACUAUCAAUUUCUACUCUUGACUCAUUUCACUCACAAGACCAGAAACUGGGGGACUGGUGUUAAGCGAAUAAAAGCACCAGGUCGGCCAUACUAUUAUUGCCACCCCGGCAUGGAUCACCUCAGCCCUGUGGUACGAGCAGAGCACAGGGGCACACACCAACUAGAUGUUCAUAUCGAACCGAUAUACAUUCCCCAGAAAAGCGGGAACACGAUCCCACAGAAUCACGGCAGUUGUGCUUUGCCCAGAACCGUUGAAGGGCACGGGAGAUCCCACGUUUGCCACAAUGCAACAAUCAGAGCCCCAUGAGGGGCGGCCACCACCCGAAAAAGGGGGGAUAGAGGGUAAGCGGAAAACGUGGGACAAACAGCGGCUAUAAAAGAAGAGGAAAUCGAUGAAGAAAAGGACACUGAAAAAUUGAGAGGGGAAAAUGCUGCCAAAUUACAACCAGACCAUUUUCUUACAAAUUUCGAACAAACUUCUUGAAUCCAAAUUACAUUGUUUUCCCGUAAACACCUUGUACUAACUUAGGCAUUGGAGGGUUUACGCCGGCAAAACCACCGGCGUCUCUUAUCCGUUUUUACUGAACGCAGGUCUAGUGAGAGAAAUGAGGGUGAUUCCAGCCUUAGCGGUUCGUGCAACAGUCGAUAUCUUAAACGUUGGUGAAAGAAUCUGGUCGGUCCAAGGACGAGCAGAUUUCGACAUCAACAAUGGCAACUCCACAAUGAUGAUAAUGAUAAUUUUGUGAUUCAGACACGUUGUUAGGAAUUCUGUAUUGGUUUUUCUCUCGCCUUCGAUGUCUACGAUGAAGCAUAUUAUGGCUUUUAAUCUGCAACUGCUGCAAAAUGGACUCACUAGCUAGCAAAUAAUAAUAUAUAGUGCUGUCAAAUUUAUAAAGAUUAUAUAUACACACACUUUCGUGUUCAAUGCACCGACACUAGAUGUAUAUUGGCAUUUAGAAAAAUUGGCAAUAACUAAUGACUUUCAAGAUUAAUUAAAUGACAAUAUUCAGUCUAUCAUAAAACAAGUUUUCAACAAGUGAAGAGGAGGUACUCUUUAUAAUUGGAUAAUUAAUGCAACCUUCAAUAUUUUCAACCAAAAAAAAAAUGAUAUUUGAUAUGUAUUCAACAUUAGGGAAAAACCUCCCAUAUCGAAGGUUUGCUUAAACGAUCAAAUAAAUCCACUUAGUUUCGUAAAUGGUUGUACAUAUCCUCUUUUUGACUAUUUAUUGGGUUAUGUUUGAGAGUUAGGACUAAGUGUGGGAUUAUACUAACUUUGAGAUUAAAUAUUAUUCUAUAUUUAGCAAUUUUCCUUAGAUUGGAUUAUGAGAGACUAAAUUCUAAGUUAGUUGUUAAAUAAAGGGGAUUGGCAAUACCAAUUUAUAAAUAGAUUUAAAUGGGAUUAGAAUAAGAGGAUAAAAUGUUCAUUUGUAAUAUUUCUUUCAUAUAUAACACCAUCUUUUAUUUAUUACUUCAAAUUUAAUUAAUGAAUUAAUUAUUUUAUUCAUGAUUUACUUGAAAUAUAUUUUUUAUUUUGUUUUUAUAUUCUAAUUAAAUUGGUACUUUAAUUUAAUAAUUUUUUACAUUAAUUGAUUGUACUAAAUUUAAUAAUCACCAAUGUGAUAUUAAAAUAUAAUUAUGAAAAUUAAUAAUACUAGUAAUUAAUUGAUUUUAUAUAUUAUUUGCUAAUUUUUUGAUAAAAUAAAAUAUAUAUCUAAAAUAUCUAAAUAAUCAAAAAGUUUUAUUAAUUUAUAUUUUUUAUUACAAUUAUGACUACCCAUAAGUAAUUUACUGUAUAUUUAAUGUUCUUAUUAAUUAUAUUUAAAUUAAUCUUAAUUAUUAUUCUUAAAUAUUCAUAAAUAGUUUUUUAUUUAAAUAUAAUUUAAUAUUGUCUAAUCCAAUGUUGUACUAAACAUAAGACAGUAGUGUAUAAUCCAACAUAACACUUAGUCCAAUUUAGUCUUGCAUGCCAAAUGUAAUCUUAUACACUUUGAUUACAACAAGCCAAUAAUUGACUUAAAUAAACUUCUAUAAAAUUAUAAGUUAAAAUUAAAAUAGUAUGAUAUAUAAAAUAAGAUAAAAUUUAUAAAUUAUUUUGAAUAUUAGAAAAAUGAUUUUAACAUUAUUAAUUUGUCAUAUUCUUUUACUACUAAUAAAAUUUGUUUGACAAAUUAAUAAUAUUAAAAUAAUUAUACCUAACAUUCACAAUAAUUUAUAAAAUUUAUAUAUUUUGUUAGCAAUUUUUUUAAUUAUGUCUAUAUUAAUAUAAAUCUUAAAGUCAAUUUUUGGAUUAAUAGAUUUUAGUAUAUAUAAUAAUAACUUAAUAUUAAAAAUAAUUUUCAUUACAUACGUUAUUCUAUUAAUUAUCUUAUUGUAAUAUUUUAUUUGUAUCAUAUGAUAUUUAUUAAUUAUUUUUUUAUCUUAUUAGUAUAUUUAUAUUUAUUUGUGUUGUUGUAAUCAAAGGGUAUAGUAACUAAAAAUGUGUUUAUGUGACUAUUUAACCUAAAGGGUCUUUGUGACCAUUUAAGUAAACCUUGGAAAUGUGUGACAAUAGUCAUUCUAAUGACUUUCAAGAUUGAAAGUGAGUCGGAUUAUCAAAUUAUGAAGCAUUAAUACGUAAUGUUUUAUGGUUAUUUUAAGGUUGAAGCUGGUUUAUUCAUUAAACAAGCUUUUAACAAGAGGAGAAAGUUCCCUUUAAAAUUUAAUAAUUAAUACAACCUUCAAUAACAAAAAAGUCAUAUAAUAAGGAUGAUGAUUCUUGUUCACUUGGAUACAUAUAUAUAACCUAUGAUGUGGUAAGCAAGGUAUCAAUUAUGUAUUUCUUGUAUCUGAAAAAAUGAAUAAUCCUUUAACGAAGGUUAUCAUCAAUUGCAGGUUUCUAGUUUGGCUGCUUAGUUUUAGGACUACGAAUUUUACAAUAUCAUAAUUAAAGGAAAGAAUAUAUGCGGUAGUCUUUGCCUGAUCUACUUUCUUCUUCUUAAUUAACCACUUAAAAGGAAAGAAUAUUGUAUACGCAGCGCACUAUAAUACUCUAAUUACCAAUUCUUUAUCUUAUAAUAUAAGUUCAUAGUGAUUAAUUUGCCCUUCUCCAGCAAAAAAACAAAUCCCAUUUCAGCACAUCUACAAGAGCCCUCAUUUCUCUUUGCUCCAGCCAAUUGAUAGCAGAAUCAUCACAGACACCUUGAGCUCCGUCAAUCAUCAUAGACAAUUGGUGACUAGUGGGAGCAUUACAAGGAAGGUACGACGAGUACAAACUGAUAGAUUUGUUUAUAUGAUUCGGCUGUAGUUUUUAUAUAUGGUUAAAUUAUGACAAUAAUCAAGAGAUAAUCAUGUACCUCAUUAGUUUCAUAAAUGUACAUACUAAUUUAUUCCCCUGCUUGCCAGAAUCAAACAUGUAGAAUAAGAUAAAUUUUAAGAUUUAAACUUUUCAAUUCAUUAAAAAUCUAGUGGGAUAUUAAUCGGUAAAACCACUUCGGGGUAGUACAAGAGGUUUGUGGUGCUAACCAAUUUAUGUGAGUGGAGAAAGAAUUAGGCUUUUUUAAUAAAAAUUAAUAAUCAUAAUAAUAAAAGGACAUAAAUUUCAAGAUUUAAAACUUUAGACUUCAUUAGAAGUAAGAGGGGGAUCGUAAAAAAUUUGAAUGUAACUUAUCGAUCGUGGAAUGGAUUUUUUUUUUUUUUUUGUUGCAGCUAUUUACACACCUUUGAACACAUGUUAGGGUGAGGGUAUUUCAAUAUUUUACCCACAUCUCAAUAAAAUAUUUUGAGGUGAUGCUACCACUAAACAACUCAUUAAACUCAUUUACUUAAUACACACACUUCUAAAAUUUAAAAUGCACAAUUUUAUUUUACAAACCCAUUAAUACCUAAAAUACCCUUAUUAAGUUAAAUUAUCACAAUUUCUCUUAUCAUUUUCUUUUCCCAUCAUUUCUCCGUUUCUUCACUCUUUUCUUCUUCAUUUUUGGAGCUUUACCCAUAGCUUUUUUAUUCCAAAUUCUCAAACUUUUUAUUUUAUUUUUUAAUAGCUAUUUUUCCCGUUGAUAUUUCAUGCGUUUAUAUGAUUCAGCUAUAGUUUUAACUUUUAUAUAUGGUCAAGUUAUAACAGUAAUCAAGAGAUAAUCAUGUUCAUCAUAAGUUGCAUAAAUGUACAUACUAAUUUAUUCCUCUACUUGCCAGAACCAUACAUAUAAAAUGAGAUACAUUUUAAGGUUUAAUCUUAGGGUUGGCAAUAAGCUCCGGAUCCAGCCCAGAUCCGCAACAAUCCGGAAGAUCCGGAUCUGGAAAAAUACGGAUCCGCAUGCUAAAAAAUGCGAAUCCAGAUCUUAAAAAUCACAAUCCGUGCGGAUCCGGAUGUAAGUGCAUCCGGAAAACCGAAUAUCUGGAUCCACAAUUUUUUAUAAUUAAAUUAUUUAUUUAAUUAAAUUUCAAUUGAAAAAUAGAUAAAUUAAAUUAUUUAUUUAAAUGUAUAAGCAUAAUUAACUCUCUAGUCUUCAUUAACUUUAAAAAAUAUGUUAAUAAACUAAUAAUAAUUAUAAUAAUUAGAGAAUAUUGUAAUAAAUCGGUUUACCUUACAUUUUUUUUAUGCUUGAUUUAUAUUGUGAAAUUAUUAUUUGUGAAUUUAUGGUGUUGUUGUAUGUUAUUUAUGUUGAAUUGAAGUUAAAUUGUUGAUUCUUAAAUUAUAAUUGAAUUUUAUUUAAUAUUAUUAUGUAAAUUAUUAAAUAAAAUUAUAUUUAAAUUUAUUAUUAUGCAUAUCCGAAUAUCCGGAAUAUCCGUCCGCAAUUUGUGCGGAUGUUAUCCGCAUCCGGAUUCUUAUUUUUUUUUGCGGAUCCGGAUGUCAAAAGUUUAAUCCGGAUCCAGAUGCACUAAGAUCCGGAUCCAGAUCCAAAUUUUGCCAUCCCUAGUUUAAAACUUUGCAAUUCGUUAAAAAUCUUGCGGGAUAUUAACCGAUAAAACCACUUAGGGAUAGUACAAGAGGUUUAUGAUUUCUCAACCCAUUUAUGUGGGUGGAGAGAGAAUCAAGUGUUUUUUUAAAUAAAGAAUAAUUAAUAAUUAAUAAUCAAAUUAAUAAAAAUAAAUAAAUUGUAAGGGGGAUCGUAAAAGUUUUGUAUGUAACAUAUCGGUAGUGGAAAGAAUUUUUUUUGGAGAGGCUAUUUGGCUUGGAACAUAUAUUACAAUACUCUCUUCAUCCACUUCUCAAUAAAAUAUUUUAUUAAAAAAAUUUCCUUAAUUGAAUUAUUGUUUUAGCCAUAUAUUAUGUUCGUUUAUCUCCCUAAAGUUUUUAUUCUUUCACCCUUUUUUCUCUUUUCCUCUGUGUCUCCCCAAUUUUUUUCCAGUCCUAUGGGGUUCUUAUUAAAGCUUCUAUUGAGUAAAAUCUAUAUUAAAAUUUCUUAUAAAAAAAAAAGAAAAAAAGAAUUCGUCUCUUUUAAAAAUUGUCUUUCCUUCCUUUACCCUUGAGUUACUAUUAGAUGUAUAAGCUCAAGAUGAGACUAGUAAUUGGAUUUCCAUUAAAAGUUUUAAUUUCAAAAAAUCAAAAGAUCACCAUACAAAUAUCAAAAGGUCACUAACUUAAUUAUACUGGUAAUAAUUAAGAUAAAUAAAAGACCUACUAUUUCUGUUUGAUGUUAUUAUGAUAAAGAAAGAAAAAAAAGAAAUAGCAAGUUGCUGUAGUUGCAACAAUUGAGGAUAUGCUAAUAAAAGUGUUACAGAGAUAGAUUUAAUUGAUAAAAAUAAGAUUUUAAUAAAAAGUUUUGAGAGAAACAAUUAAUAAAAACUAAUGAUAUUUAUUAAGGGUAUAUUAUGAAUAUUUGUGGCCUUUUUUGAGAUAAUUAAAUAAAUUUUAAGUUGUGAUAAUGUGUUUAUUACAUAAGUGGAUUUAUUCAGUAUUCUAGUGGAUUUAAGUAGUCUCAACUCUCAUAUUAUAAUAAAUUUUUAUAUUGCUACAAUUGCCCUAAUAUAGUGGACAGUAUUAUAUUGUACACAUAAGAAUACUCUAGCACCCAAUUAAAAUUUUUAGUAAAACAUAUAAGAACUCUAAAUGUAAAGAGAAUUCCGUCAAGGUAUUGCAGUAGUAUUUAAUGCUCUUGGCUAGUGUAAACUAUUGUGCCACAUGUAGUAUUUCGAUCCUGACAAGUGCAUUACAAAUAAUGACUCUUAUUUCAGGUCUUUUAGGUACUUUAGAGAUAUAUUAGCUAUGGAGCUAGUAUUAGGUCAUCACGUGCUUCUUUUAAUGAAAGAUGUGGUUCAUUUUUCCCUAUACCAAAGCAUUUUCUGUGGAAUAAUCGUGUCAAAUGCUCAUUUAUCAAGGGCACGUGUGGUGUUGUCAGUAUGAUA